CUGUCAAUUUUUGGUUGGGUUCAUGGGCCAAGCCCAAUAUUGCAGCCUUAUUAUUGUUGGGUCGUUGCCUUUUUGUCUCAACAGUUUCAUUUUUUUCUUUUUUUAUAAAGUGGGUUCACUAGUCAGGUGGGUCCCCAUUGUGAGGUUCUAGUACUAGGUCCUAGCCGUCAGGGCAAUAUUCUUCAUUUUUUUAAAUUCAAUGCAAAUAAAUACCUAGUAUAUAAUUGGCACACAGAACACACGAAAUACUUCAAAUAUGAUCAACAAUCAAAGUGCUACAUCAUAUAACACGUACAAAUGUGAUCAGCAUCAAGUUUACAAUCAGAUAACAAGGUCCACAAGUGUACAAUCACAUGAGCCAGAUUCUUCUACAUCAUAUAACACACAUACAAAUAGGAGCAGCAUAAAGGGCUUCAUUACUCUCAGAACUAGCUUCAAUGAGCUAGAACUAUUCUUCCUCCAACUUCUUUGUCCCGAUGAUCACGAAAAAACAUGAAAGCCCAGCAUCUGCACGUUACAAAACAAAAUGUUUAGGAACAAAAUAGAAGUAAAUCUAACAGCAUAUUUAACAAUAAAUAACAGAAUAAUGAAGUUAAUGAGACAUUUUAGAAUCAACUUGACAGUUGACAGUAAUGUUUGCAUUGGACAUAUCUAAAACUAAAAUUAUACAUAAAUGCCUAAAUUCCAAUUCCCAAUGCCUCAGUUUAGUAAACACUAAGCAUGGUACAUAGUAAAGAUUUGACACAACCAGAACUGAAAUCAUUUACUCUAUCAAGCAACAAUGAUGCAGCACACAAGAAAAGAGAGAUGCACAACGGAGCAACAUCGUAUAUCACACAAUAUGGACACUGUCAGCUCACGAAUGAACUUGUGGUCGCCGCCGUACACAGCCGCCAUAACGUCGGUCACCUCGUUGAUCUUGUCCUUAAAGUUCUCUAACUCCAGGUUGUUCCACUGCAGCUCGGUAUUUGCUCAACCGUAUGUGUACAUGCAUCAAGGCAUACAUAAAAUAUUCAAUUCAAUAUUCUCAGCUAAUUGUGAUGUAAUGAAAAUAAUUACUUACGGAAUAGGGGUAAAAAUUGAUUUUAGAGAUCAAAAUUUGUAGCGCUCAUUUCAACCAUGUUCAGAUAAACAGUAAAUUAGCAGUAAGGAUAUUAGUUACAUGCUGGGUGUGUUACUGCUGUCCAACACCACCACCACCAGAGACACGCAAGAUAAGCAUCAACACCACCAUGAUAUUGAUAUUAGCCACCCCACAUCACCAGAGCAUCAUAGGAGCACAUAUAUAACACAAGUACACGUGGGCAGCUACUGACAGACCCUAGAACCGCAUGAAUUUAUCACCAGAGAGCUCCAGUAGGAGUUGGUGCUUGGUUACAACAUCUAGCAGCAACUAGUUGAGCCCCACAUCCAACCCAAAUCAUGGCCAAGGGGAGGAGCUCACCAGAGGGAGGUUGUAGCCGUAGCAGAGGCUCAGCUACACCACGGCUGU
rnacentral:lncRNA from 1 species